rnacentral:rRNA from 1 species
UACGAAGGGGGCUAGCGUUGUUCGGAAUUACUGGGCGUAAAGCGUGCGCAGGCGGCUUCUCAAGUCAGGGGUGAAAGCCCAGAGCUCAACUCUGGAAUUGCCUUUGAGACUGAGUGGCUUGAGUACGGGAGAGGUGAGUGGAAUUCCCAGUGUAGAGGUGAAAUUCGUAGAUAUUGGGAAGAACACCGGUGGCGAAGGCGGCUCACUGGCCCGAACUGACGCUCAUGCACGACAGCGUGGGGAUCAAACAGG